rnacentral:rRNA from 1 species
GACGAACGCUGGCGGCGUGCCUAAUACAUGCAAGUCGAACGCAGUGGGGACGGGUGAGUAACACGUGGGUAACCUCCCAUCAGAGGGGAUAACACUUGGAAACAGGUGCUAAACCGAUACUGAUGGAUGGACCCGCGGGGCAUUAGCGAGGUGGUGAGGAAGCGGCUCACCAAGGCGACGAUGCAUAGCCGGCCUGAGUGGUGGACCAGCCACAUUGGGACUGAGACACGGCCCAGACUCCUACGGGAGGCAGCAGUAGGGAAUCUUCGGCAAGGGACGAAAGUCUGACCUAGCAACGCCGCGUGAGUGAAGAAGGUUUUCGGAUCGUAAAACUCUGUUGUUAGAGAAGCGGUAUCUAACCAGAAAGCCACGGCUAACUACGUGCCAGCCGCCGCGGUAAUUC